ensembl:lncRNA
UAAUGAGCAAAUACCACAGCCUGGCGUGAUCUAUUGCUUAAAUAUAAAACAUACAUAUCUGUGUUAAUACAGCGGACAAUAGUCCUGUAGUGCUAUUGACUAGUAUGACUGAUCAGACUUUGCUGCCGCACACACGUUUCGAGGCGAUAUACCCUAGCUUUAACAGGCUGUGCGCGCUCCCACGGCUGAAAUCACUUUCUGGCACAACACCGGCAGUUCACUUUCACAACAUCCCCGGUAAAUGUACCCAAAGUCACGUUUUCUGACAUUCACAGACUUGACGAACAACACUCCAUAACAGCCCGCUCCAAACUGUACAAGGGAUGGUUUAUUUUUCGAGAACUAUAUCGACUACGCAGCCAUCUCCUGGCUCCAGUAAAUCCAGCAGUCCACUUCGUUCGUCAGCUCUCGGUCAGAGAUGGAGCCGGUGAAGAGACUUGACACAAAAGUCACAGCACUACAAGGGGCAAUCCCAAUCAAGGCCUUAAAGGUUUUCGUGUUCUUGUAAGAUGAGAAAACCUCAGACUGGAGGAUGGGAAGGGAGCAGAGGCGGAGUGGCCGUCGGGACGAUCGGGAGAUUUCCCGGUCGGCCGGCCAGCCUGCGAGGUCAGGUGGACCGGCCCGCAAUUGUGUAGCGGCCUGCGAAGUCAGUUGGACCGGCCCACAGUUGUGAGCGGCCGCGAGGUGUCUGCAAGCCGGCUCUGAGCAUAAUUUAUUCCCCGUCAAGACGCCGUGAAAAUACCCGAAAUAAACAAUACAUGUCUAGAGAAUAUCCAACCAAUAUUUAUACCACUUGCUUACUCUCUAUGUCUCAUUCAUGGUUUUUUCUUUAUAUAUUUUUUUUACUUCAUUUAAUUCUUCAUUAUUCAGGCG